ACCCCCUCCUCUCUCUCUUCGCUCUAUCUCGCUCUCCUCAUCUCCGAUGCGGGCAGGGCGAUGGCGCGGCACAAGCCGGCGUCGGCGUCGGCGUCGGCCCUCCUCCUCCGCCGCCCUCCCUCGGCUGCCUCUCAUCUCUGUUUCUCCCUCCCCUUCCUCUAUCUACCCUUCUCGCACGAGGCGGCAGCAGGCGCGAGGCGGCGGCAGGCGUGACGAGACGGCGGCCCCUGCGGGCAGAGCGCUAGUGCGGUUGGGGCCUGGUGGCCACCUCCCUCUCCCUCAUCAUUCGCGUGGGAUCCUCAAUGCCUUCUCCUGCCGAGGAACGGGCGCUCCUCUGGUUGCCAAAACCCUAGCUACCUAUACGCGUGCUACAAAUUGGUUACAUGCUUGUUACCUCCUCUGAUCUGGUUUCGUUAUUGUUUUUCAGGAUUGAUUUCAGCUUGUUUUCUUCCCUUCCUCGUCUAUGAUUGUUCAGGUACAAAGGAAGGGAGUUUCCGCAUGUUCAAGACAACAUGUGUAUAAUUCCUGUUAUUUCCUAUGGCUGAUUCCACAGUUUGGUUGAGGUACAUUACUAUGAUUACAGACAAUUUUAGAGAUCCAUUAAUUACUGCGAUUACAGAGAAUUUUAGAGAUUCAACUUUACUUAGAAAAUAUAAAUUUAUGCAAUAGAUAGUACAAUGGCCUAAUUGGAAUUAUUUUUGCACAAAAUGACCAAUAGGAGAUGGCUGUCCACCUUAAUCCGGUUGCCAUCAAGUAGCCGGGGGGGAAUAAAAAAAAUCUCUACAUAAUUAGUUGUUAAGAACGUCUAAUUCAAUACCGAAAAUAUUCAGUGUAAGUCAAAUUAGGCAAUGUGCAUGUCUCUGUUAGGUAGUUUUUUCAGUUGUUAUGGAAGGAAAGUAAAGUUUGGUUAUGGCUGCACCGUGUAUUAUGUGGUUUAUUUGAUUUUCAUGCGUACUUGCACUUACUUGCAUUGUCCCAUUUUUUCACUAUAGAUGGUUUAUUUGAUUUGAUCCAAAAAUUUAAGCUUGCAAAGGAUCCUGUACAAGCAGACAACCAAUACUCCAGCUAAAGAUGAAAAACGAGGUGGACUGGAACUUCUGACUCCUAAUGAUUCUAUAGUUGGGUGCCAUGUCAUGGAAUCCUGCUUAACAUAACUUAAUACAUAAUUUUUUCAUGCUCAUAGUUAAUUGGAUCUGAUUAUCUGAGACAUGACUGUUCUGUCCAUAUUAUGGAUGUUGGCUUCGUCCUGCUAUUAUGCUCCCAUACUCUGGAGAAUCAGGUCACUGUCAUUUUUUUUGUUUCUAAUUUUGUAUUUCUCAUGUUAAUAUGUUAUUUAUAUUUCAUUUUCUUCAGCUAGGACCUUAUUAGCAACACAACUCUGAAUUAUAGUCACAAUCUGUUGGUGUAGCAGCAUGAGGAAUGUUUUUUUUGACUUUGUAUUUUGAUGAUUAUUAUAUAUUAAGUGGCCACAAAGGUCAAAAAACCUGAUGCUCUGCUAAUCAUGGAUGAGGUUGACAGUAUGACUGCUGGAGAUAGGGGUGGUGUUGCUGAUCUUGUUGUUUGCAUCGAGAUAUCCAAGAUUCCUAUUUUCUGCAAUUUAAAUGACCUUCAUGGUGAGAAAUUGAAGAGCAUUGUUAAUUGCUGCCUGAUGCUCAAAUUCAGCAAACCAAAGAAACAACAGAUAAGCUAUUCCCCUUGCCAUACAAGAUGCUAAAUUCCCGGUGCUUCUCUAGUCUGCCAUCAAUGUGAGCUUGCUGCAUUGGCCACAAUUUGGUCUAGAGGUGUGAUUUUCUGUUUACAAGAUCCACUACAAUGAGGAUGUUGCUUCUCCAUAGAUUCGUCCAGUUGGCAGAUCACUGAUUCAUUUGCUGACCCCUACGAAUCGAAAUGUUUGUGAAGGCAUAGAAGAACUAGACCAAGUCCUUCCACCUAACGUAGUAAACUACCAGUAUAUGUAAUUUUUACCUGCACAUUGUACCGUAUGCAUAUACCUAUACACAUGUACUAUACGCAUCGUGUACAUGUAUAUCUCCAUCACCAUGGUCUCAUUAUGGGCAUUAGCAGCAUGUGUAUAACAUAAGUGUGUUUACUCACCUGACCGCGCGAUGGCGCGGAUUUCACUAGUCACUACUUUAAAGGUGGUGUUUAAUUUGAAAGACGGAUAUUCUUGUUUUUA